GUACGGCCGCAAGGUUAAAACUCAAAUGAAUUGACGGGGGCCCGCACAAGCGGUGGAGCAUGUGGUUUAAUUCGAUGCAACGCGAAGAACCUUACCUGGUCUUGACAUCCACGGAAGUUUUCAGAGAUGAGAAUGUGCCUUCGGGAACCGUGAGACAGGUGCUGCAUGGCUGUCGUCAGCUCGUGUUGUGAAAUGUUGGGUUAAGUCCCGCAACGAGCGCAACCCUUAUCCUUUGUUGCCAGCGGUCCGGCCGGGAACUCAAAGGAGACUGCCAGUGAUAAACUGGAGGAAGGUGGGGAUGACGUCAAGUCAUCAUGGCCCUUACGACCAGGGCUACACACGUGCUACAAUGGCGCAUACAAAGAGAAGCGACCUCGCGAGAGCAAGCGGACCUCAUAAAGUGCGUCGUAGUCCGGAUUGGAGUCUGCAACUCGACUCCAUGAAGUCGGAAUCGCUAGUAAUCGUGGAUCAGAAUGCCACGGUGAAUACGUUCCCGGGCCUUGUACACACCGCCCGUCACACCAUGGGAGUGGGUUGCAAAAGAAGUAGGU
rnacentral:rRNA from 1 species